rnacentral:rRNA from 1 species
GGCAGCAGUGGGGAAUUUUGCGCAAUGGGCUAACGCCUGACGCAGCAACGCCGCGUGGAGGAUGAAGGUCUUUGGAUUGUAAACUCCUGUCAGCAGGGAAAAAGGGAAGGGACCUAAUACGUCCUCGACUUGAUUGUACCUGCAGAGGAAGCCCCGGCUAACUCUGUGCCAGCAGCCGCGGUAAUACAGAGGGGGCAAGCGUUAUUCGGAAUUAUUGGGCGUAAAGGGCGCGUAGGCGGCCUGGCAAGUGACGGGUGAAAUCCCUCGGCUUAACCGAGGAACUGCCUGUCAGACUGCUUGGCUUGAGACCGGGAGAGGCGAGUGGAAUUCCCAGUGUAGCGGUGAAAUGCGUAGAUAUUGGGAGGAACACCAGUGGCGAAGGCGGCUCGCUGGACCGGAACUGACGCUGAGGCGCGAAAGCGUGGGGAGCAAACAGGAUUAGAUACCCUGGUAGUCCACGCCGUAAACGAUGAGUGCUUGGUGUAGCGGGUAUCGACCCCUGCUGUGCCGAAGUCAACACAUUAAGCACUCCGCCUGGGGAGUACGGUCGCAAGACUGAAACUCAAAGGAAU